GUCUUCCUUGUCAUGGGGAGCAUAAUAUCCAAUGAGCGUCUAGUGAGGGUAUUUAUGCUGACAACCAUACAAACAUAUACCCCGUGCGGCGAAUUCUACACGCUGUGUGGCUUCGCUCGUUCGGAAUUUUUGGAAAG